CACAUCCAACGGUUUAAAAAAAAAAAAUUAUGAAAUUGAAAUCAGCCAAUUUCCCGCCCAAAAGCUAUACAGCUUAUACAGGCUAUACAACAGCUAUACACUCUCACUCAGCCUCACACUCACCCCCUUCUCCACCGAACCCACCCUCACUGGCGACCCAAUCCCGGCGGCGACCUACUGUCGACGGUUACCCACUCCCGACGACGACCGAUCGAGGUGUCUGCUUCGCAAACUAGAGCCCUCACGCUCUUCUCCUCCAUUUGACCGAACCCUCAUUCUCUUUGCCCUCACAUCGCGAACCCAUUGCUUCGUUGUGAGCAAACCAGUUCGACGUCAAUCAUCACAGGAAAAAAUAAUAAUAAUAAUAAUUUACAGACAUUUCCACAGACAUUCCCUCUGUUGCUGAAAGUGCUGUCCCUCUGUUGCUGAAAUGUUGCUGAAAGUGCUGUCCCUUUGUUGCUGAAAUGUUGCUCAAACUGCUGUCCCUCUGUUGCUGAAAUGUUUUGUUUUUUUUUUUUUUUUUUUUUUUUUUUUUUUUUUUUUUUUUUAUGUUGCUGAAAUUGUUGCAAACAUGUAUGAAGUUGAUUUUGUUCUUGUUUUGUGUGUGAAUAUGUAUGAGGUUGAAUUUGGUGUGAAUAUAUUAAUGUUGGAGGUUGAAACUUGCUGUGAAAUUGAAUAGAUUAUGAUGGAGGUUGAAAUUGAAAUUUGGUGUGAA